UUGGCUACGAUCUUCUAUCUAAAUCUAAAAAUCAAUUUGUAAAGUUUCGUGAGAAAUCUUUUUGAGACAAUAAUUGAAGUGGCAUUGCUCUUGCAGACUAAUUUGGAAAAGCUGGUGUCUUUGUGAAUAUGGUGUAUUUACUCCAGUCUUCUUUCAUGCAUUUGGAAAUACCAUGAAUAGUGAGUCACAAUAACCAAGAUUCGGAAUGAACCUGUGUCCAUCCACCUAAAUGUGGAAAAAACACCACGAAUGAACCCAUAACCUUGUGCCUGUCCCUCAGAUGCUCUUGCACUUAAUUGCUUCUCCAGCCAGACCACAGCUUUCACUUCGAUGUCAGCACUCUCAUCGAAGA